CCCUUAGAUGUUCUGGGCUGCACGCGCGCUACACUGAUGCGCUCAACGAGUUUUAACCUUGCCUGGAAAGGUUGGGUAAUCUUUUUAAAACGCAUCGUGAUGGGGAUAGAUUAUUGCAAUUAUUAAUCUUCAACGAGGAAUUCCUAGUAAACGCAAGUCAUCAGCUUGCAUUGAUUACGUCCCUGCCCUUUGUACACACCGCCCGUCGCACCUACCGAUUGAAUGGUCCGGUGAAAUCUCCGGACUGGCGUGAGUCGGAGCAAUCUGACAAACACCGGAAAGUUGAUUAAACCUUACCAUUUAGAGGAAGGUGAAGUCGUAACA
rnacentral:rRNA from 1 species